rnacentral:tRNA from 1 species
AUUUAAAUAGCUUAUAUAGAGCAAGAUAUUGAAGCUAUCUAGGAGGUACUUGUACCUUUAAAU